UACGGGGGGGGGUAAGCGUUGUUCGGAAUUACUGGGCGUAAAGCGCACGUAGGCGGAUAUUUAAGUCAGGGGUGAAAUCCCAGAGCUCAACUCUGGAACUGCCUUUGAUACUGGGGUAUCUUGAGUAUGGAAGAGGUUAGUGGAAUUGCGAGUGUAGAGGUGAAAUUCGUAGAUAUUCGCAGGAACACCAGUGGCGAAGGCGGCUAACUGGUCCAUAACUGACGCUGAGGUGGCGAAAAGCGUGGGGAGCAAACAGGG
rnacentral:rRNA from 1 species